rnacentral:lncRNA from 7 species
AAAAUGCAUGAUUUUCGGGUUAAAUGGGGGAUUUCGGAAGAGAAAAUGCGUGUUGUUUGAGAUAAACGGGGAUUUUUGUAGAGCGAAUGCAUGAUUUUCACGUUAAAUGGGGGAUUUUCCAAGAGAAAAUGUGUGCUUUUGGGGUUAAUGGGGUAUUUUUGGAGAGAAAAUGCAUGAUUUGGGGGUAAAUGCGUAUUUUCCAAGAGAAAAGGUGAGGUUUUUGAGUUAAAUGGGGGUUUUCCAAGAGAAAAUGCGUGAUUUUGGGGUUAAACGGGGGAUUGUUGAAGAGAAAACGCGCAAUUUUUGGUUUAAACAGCAAGUUUUGUAGAGAAUAUGCGUGAUUUUCAGUUUAAAUCAGGAUUCUCAAAGAGAAAAUGUGCUGAUUUUUGUUUAAAUGGGGUAUUUUGGAAGGGAAA